UGUUGUUAUAUCUUGCAUGAUGUAAUUUAGCUUCCAUCAUUCUAUGGAUAUGUUGUGGCCCUUCUAUGACCCAGAUCAUCUUGAUCUUGCCUUAUUUAGUGCUAAUGAAAUGAGAGGUGGUUUUUCAUCAUUUAAUUUAGAAAAAAAGAUAGGUCAGUUAGAAGUUACAUCAUCUUUAUCAUCAUUAUUGUCCUACCACUAAAGGGAUAUUUGUGAUAUAUCAUGAUUAUACGUUGA
rnacentral:lncRNA from 1 species